AGUUUUGCGCAGUGGCAGUAUCAUAGCCAAUGAGGUUUAUCCGAGGCGCGAUUAUUGCUAAUUAAAUUUUCAUUAUUCCUCCUUAGGUUAAUGUUGCAACUUCUCUAAUCACAGUGUAGUCUCAAUAAACAGUAUUUUAUUUAUGUG